GCGUGAAGACCGACAGGAUGAAAAAAGUGAAAAGUACGUUAAGAAGCCCCUAAACGCCUUCAUGCUAUUCCGGCAGGAGCAGAGGCCCAAGGUUGUCGCUCUGCUCAACAUUCGAAACAGCGCUAAUGUCAACAAAGUGGUUGGACAGAUGUGGAAGUCGCUGACAAAAAAACAGCAAAGGAAAUACUAUGAGCUCGCCGAUGCUGCCAAACUAAUCCACACACAGCAGCAUCCCGAUUGGUCCUGCACUGAAAACUAUGGAAAGAAGCGGAAGAGGCAAAGGGUCAACGUUAAAGACAACGGUCAAGGUAAGAUCAGGGCCGUAUUACUUUUACAAACUACAGCCCCCCCAGGCGCAGAUCCCCCAUAAUCAUUCCCUGGACUGCGUGGUGACCCUGUGAAAUGAUGCUGAGCGGAUUACUCUGUCGCCCUCUUGUGGGCAAUGUCUUCAAGUACAUGCUUAAACUAUAAAUAUAGUAGUAUCCCUGGGUGUUUGUAAUGCUGUGUGUAGCGCUGUGCAAUAAAUCAAAAUCGAUUAACUACGUUUGAUGGGAAAAAAAGGCACUCUACAAAUGAAUUUGCAUUAAAAAAAAUCUGCAGAGGACACGUUCCAGGACGCACGACCAGACGCAGCAAGCAACGAGACUCAUGCAAUAAAGCAGGAAAGCCAUCUUAUGGCGACCAAUCCACAGUUGAGAGUGAUGCUGGAGGUGAUGCUUUAACCCAAGCGCUUCUGGUGUCCCUUUAUUUUUUGUUUCUUCAACAUUCAAUAAAACACAUUUGAAAUGU